UGGGGAAUAUUGCACAAUGGGGGAAACCCUGAUGCAGCGACGCCGCGUGGAGGAAGAAGGUCUUCGGAUUGUAAACUCCUGUUGUUGGGGAAGAUAAUGACGGUACCCAACAAGGAAGUGACGGCUAACUACGUGCCAGCAGCCGCGGUAAAACGUAGGUCACAAGCGUUGUCCGGAAUUACUGGGUGUAAAGGGAGCGCAGGCGGGAAGACAAGUUGGAAGUGAAAUCCAUGGGCUCAACCCAUGAACUGCUUUCAAAACUGUUUUUCUUGAGUAGUGCAGAGGUAGGCGGAAUUCCCGGUGUAGCGGUGGAAUGCGUAGAUAUCGGGAGGAACACCAGUGGCGAAGGCGGCCUACUGGGCACCAACUGACGCUGAGGCUCGAAAGUGUGGGUAGCAAACAGGAUUAGAUACCCUGGUAGUCCACACCGUAAACGAUGAUUACUAGGUGUUGGAGGAUUGACCCCUUCAGUGCCGCAGUUAACACAAUAAGUAAUCCACCUGGGGAGUACGACCGCAAGGUUGAAACUCAAAGGAAUUGACGGGGGCCCGCACAAGCAGUGGAGUAUGUGGUUUAAUUCGACGCAACGCGAAGAACCUUACCAAGUCUUGACAUCCUGCGACGGUUCUGGAAACAGAACUUUCCUUCGGGACGCAGAGACAGGUGGUGCAUGGUUGUCGUCAGCUCGUGUCGUGAGAUGUUGGGUUAAGUCCCGCAACGAGCGCAACCCUUAUGGUCAGUUACUACGCAAGAGGACUCUGGCCAGACUGCCGUUGACAAAACGGAGGAAGGUGGGGAUGACGUCAAAUCAUCAUGCCCUUUAUGACUUGGGCUACACACGUACUACAAUGGCGUUAAACAAAGAGAAGCAAGACCGCGAGGUGGAGCAAAACUCAGAAACAACGUCCCAGUUCGGACUGCAGGCUGCAACUCGCCUGCACGAAGUCGGAAUUGCUAGUAAUCGUGGAUCAGCAUGCCACGGUGAAUACGUUCCC
rnacentral:rRNA from 1 species